AAUCAACGCUGGCGGCGUGCCUCAGACAUGCAAGUCGAACGAUUAAAGCUCCCUUCGGGGAGUGCAUAGAGUGGCGCACGGGUGAGUAACACGUAAGUAAUCUACCUUUGAGUGGGGAAUAACGUUCGGAAACGGACGCUAAUACCGCAUAAUGCAGCGGCAUCGCAAGAUGACAGUUGUUAAAGGAGCAAUCCGCUUAAAGAGGAGCUUGCGGCAGAUUAGCUUGUUGGUAAGGUAACGGCUUACCAAGGCUACGAUCUGUAUCCGGUCUAAGAGGACGGUCGGACACACUGACACUGAAUAACGGGUCAGACUCCUACGGGAGGCAGCAGUCGGGAA
rnacentral:rRNA from 1 species